rfam:Pseudogymnoascus verrucosus strain TAMH 10579 unplaced genomic scaffold scaffold_10, whole genome shotgun sequence.
GCCUGGGUAGCUCAAUCGGUAGAGCGUGUGACUCUUACUUCCUAUCCUUAGGAUAUGAGAUCAUCUCAAGGUCGCGGGUUCGAGCCCCGCCUCGGGCU